CCUACGGGAGGCAGCAGUGGGGAAUCUUGCGCAAUGGGCGAAAGCCUGACGCAGCCAUGCCGCGUGAAUGAUGAAGGUCUUAGGAUUGUAAAAUUCUUUCACCGAGGACGAUAAUGACGGUACUCGGAGAAGAAGCCCCGGCUAACUUCGUGCCAGCAGCCGCGGUAAUACGAAGGGGGCUAGCGUUGCUCGGAAUUACUGGGCGUAAAGGGAGCGUAGGCGGAUAGUUUAGUCAGAGGUGAAAGCCCAGGGCUCAACCUUGGAAUUGCCUUUGAUACUGGCUAUCUUGAGUACGGAAGAGGUAUGUGGAACUCCGAGUGUAGAGGUGAAAUUCGUAGAUAUUCGGAAGAACACCAGUGGCGAAGGCGACAUACUGGUCCGUUACUGACGCUGAGGCUCGAAAGCGUGGGGAGCAAACAGGAUUAGAUACCCUGGUAGUCCACGCUGUAAACGAUGAGUGCUAGUUGUCGGCAUGCAUGCAUGUCGGUGACGCAGCUACGACAUUAAGUACACUCCGCCGUCGGGGUAGGUACGGUCGCGAGAAUUAAACGUAACGAAGAAGUUAGACGGCGUGAGACGUGCCGACGGACGACGACGACGGGAGGUUAGG
rnacentral:rRNA from 1 species